rnacentral:rRNA from 1 species
CUAAGAAUCUUCCGCAAUGGGGGAAACCCUGACGGAGCGACGCCGCGUGGACGAAGAAGGCCGCAAGGUUGUAAAGUCCUUUUGCAGACGAAGAAUAGGCUUCGGAGUGGAACGCCGGAGCGAUGACGUUAGUCUGCGAAUAAGCCCCGGCCAAUUACGUGCCAGCAGCCGCGGUAACACGUAUGGGGCAAGCGUUGUUCGGAAUCACUGGGCGUAAAGGGCGUGUAGGCGGUUCGGGAAGCCUGGCGUGAAAGGUGUCGGCCCAACCGACAGACGGCGCGAGGAACUGCCGGACUGGAGUCAUGGAGGGGGAGCUGGAAUUCCAGGUGUAGGGGUGAAAUCUGUAGAGAUCUGGAAGAACACCGGUGGCGAAGGCGGGCUCCUGGCCAAUGACUGACGCUGAGGCGCGAAAGCGUGGGGAGCAAACAGG